rnacentral:rRNA from 1 species
UACGGAGGGUGCGAGCGUUGUCCGGAAUCACUGGGCGUAAAGGGCGCGUAGGUGGCUCACGCAAGCGUGCGGUGAAAGCCCGGGGCUCAACCCCGGGUCGGCCGUGCGGACUGCGGGGCUCGAGCACUGUAGGGGCAGAUGGAAUUCCGGGUGUAGCGGUGGAAUGCGUAGAGAUCCGGAAGAACACCGGUGGCGAAGGCGGCUAUCUGGCCCGUAAUUGACGCUGAGGCGCGAAAGCGUGGGGAGCAAACAGG